ACGGAAGGCAGCAGUGGGGAAUAUUGCACAGUGGGGAAACCCUGAUGCAGCAACGCCGCGUGAGUGAAGAAGUAUUUCGGUAUGUAAAGCUCUAUCAGCAGGGAAGAAAAUGACGGUACCUGACUAAGAAGCCCCGGCUAACUACGUGCCAGCAGCCGCGGUAAUACGUAGGGGGCAAGCGUUAUCCGGAUUUACUGGGUGUAAAGGGAGCGUAGACGGCGAAGCAAGUCUGAAGUGAAGGCCCACGGCUCAACCGUGGAACUGCUUUGGAAACUGUUUUGCUAGAGUGCAGGAGGGGCAGGCGGAAUUCCUAGUGUAGCGGUGAAACGCGUAGAUAUUAGGAGGAACACCGGUGGCGAAGGCGGCCUGCUGGACUGUAACUGACGUUGAGGCUCGAAAGCGUGGGGAGCAAACAGGAUUAGAUACCCUGGUA
rnacentral:rRNA from 1 species